GACGAACGCUGGCGGCGUGCCUAAUACAUGCAAGUCGAGCGGACGGAUGGGAGCUUGCUCCCAGACCGUCAGCGGCGGACGGGUGAGUAACACGUGGGCAACCUGCCUGUAAGACUGGGAUAACUCCGGGAAACCGGGGCUAAUACCGGAUAACUCUUUCCCUCACAUGAGGGAAAGCUGAAAGAUGGCAUCUCGCUAUCACUUACAGAUGGGCCCGCGGCGCAUUAGCUAGUUGGUGAGGUAACGGCUCACCAAGGCGACGAUGCGUAGCCGACCUGAGAGGGUGAUCGGCCACACUGGGACUGAGACACGGCCCAGACUCCUACGGGAGGCAGCAGUAGGGAAUCUUCCGCAAUGGACGAAAGUCUGACGGAGCAACGCCGCGUGAGUGAUGAAGGUUUCGGAUCGUAAAACUCUGUUGUCAGGGAAGAACAAGUACCGGAGUAACUGCCGGUACCUUGACGGUACCUGACCAGAAAGCCACGGCUAACUACGUG
rnacentral:rRNA from 1 species